rnacentral:lncRNA from 1 species
UCUGUGAGUAGUGUUUGAGGGCUAUGUCGUAUGUUUUCUCUGAUGUUCCAAAUGAUUUUCGCGAUUUUAAGUCAGUUUCUGUGUAGUGUACAUGAACUUGUCUGUGUGUUUUUCUCUAAUGUUCCAAUUGAUGUUGGCCAUUCUCAGUUUUCAGUGUAGUGUUAGUGGACUGGUUUGGGUGUUUUUCACUCAUGUUCAAAAUUGAAGUUGGUGAUUUUUAGUUUCUGUGUACAUGUCUUGUUAUUGUACUGGUUUGUGUGUUUUUCUCUCAUGUUCCAAUUGAUGUUGGUGAUUUUUAGUUUUCAGUGUAGUGUACGUGGACUGGUUUGUGUGUUUUUCUUCAUGUUCCAAUUGAUGUUGGUGAUUUUAGUUGCUGUGUAUUGUAUAAGUGGACUGGUUUGUGUGUUUUUCUUCAUGUUCCAAUUGAUGUUGGUAUUUUUAGUUGCUGUGUAUUGUAUAAGUGGACUGGUUUGUGUGUUUUUCUUCAUGUUCCAAUUGAUGUUGGUAUUUUUAGUUGCUGUGUAUUGUAUAAGUGGACUGGUUUGUGUGUUUUUCUCUUAUGUUCCAAUUGAUGUUGGUGAUUUUUAGUUUUCUGUGUAGUGUACGUGGACUGGUUUGUGUGUUUUUCUUCAUGUUCCAAUUGAUGUUGGAAUUUUUAGUUGCUGUGUAUUGUAUAAGUGGACUGGUUUGUGUGUUUUUUCUCUAAUGUUCCAAUUGAUGUUGGUCAUUUUUAGUUUUCAGUGUAGUGUUAGUGGACUGGUUUGUUUGUUUCUCAUUUUCAGUUUUCUGUGUAGUACUAGUGGACUGGUUCCAGAAUGUUGUCCAUUUUUCUUCAACUUGUAUGGAUUUUGAUUGUCACAUUUUAUUCAAUGGGGGGAUUCAUACUCAGAUUAUUAUUAUAAAUCACACAUUACAUUAAACUAAAUCUGAGUUCAUAAAAUGUUGGUCACAGUCUUCUAUUUUGAUUUAAGGCCAUUAGUUCAACAUAUGCAUGCUCACACCAAAUCGAAUGAUUAAAAUUCCAUAAAAGAGUUCUACCAGUCUACAUACUCAUUAGAAUCUCUAGUUUUGAGUAUUUCUAGUAUGUUCAGU